ACGGGUGAGUAACGCGUGGGCAACCUGCCUCAUACUGGGGGAUAACAGUUGGAAACGACUGUUAAUACCGCAUAAGCGCACAGUAUCGCAUGAUACAGUGUGAAAAACUCCGGUGGUAUGAGAUGGGCCCGCGUCAGAUUAGCUAGUUGGCGGGGUAACGGCCCACCAAGGCGACGAUCUGUAGCCGGACUGAGAGGUCGGACGGCCACAUUGGGACUGAGACACGGCCCAAACUCCUACGGGAGGCAGCAGUGGGGGAUAUUGCACAAUGGAGGAAACUCUGAUGCAGCGACGCCGCGUGAGUGAAGAAGUAUUUCGGUAUGUAAAGCUCUAUCAGCAGGGAAGAAAGGCUCGAAAGAGAGAUGACGGUACCUGACUAAGAAGCCCCGGCUAACUACGUGCCAGCAGCCGCGGUAAUACGUAGGGGGCAAGCGUUAUCCGGAUUUACUGGGUGUAAAGGGAGCGCAGACGGUCAAGCAAGUCUGAAGUGAAACCCCACGGCUCAACCGUGGGCUUGCUUUGGAAACUGUUUGACUAGAGUACUGGAGAGGUAAGCGGAAUUCCUAGUGUAGCGGUGAAAUGCGUAGAUAUUAGGAGGAACAUCGGUGGCGAAGGCGGCUUACUGGACAGCAACUGAC
rnacentral:rRNA from 1 species